UGGGGAAUAUUGGACAAUGGGCGCAAGCCUGAUCCAGCCAUGCCGCGUGAGUGAUGAAGGCCCUAGGGUUGUAAAGCUCUUUCACCGGUGAAGAUAAUGACGGUAACCGGAGAAGAAGCCCCGGCUAACUUCGUGCCAGCAGCCGCGGUAAUACGAAGGGGGCUAGCGUUGUUCGGAUUUACUGGGCGUAAAGCGCACGUAGGCGGACUUUUAAGUCAGGGGUGAAAUCCCGGGGCUCAACCCCGGAACUGCCUUUGAUACUGGAAGUCUUGAGUAUGGUAGAGGUGAGUGGAAUUCCGAGUGUAGAGGUGAAAUUCGUAGAUAUUCGGAGGAACACCAGUGGCGAAGGCGGCUCACUGGACCAUUACUGACGCUGAGGUGCGAAAGCGUGGGGAGCAAACAGGAUUAGAUACCCGUGUAGUCCCUGAGCGGGCUGGCAAGGCGCAU
rnacentral:rRNA from 1 species